rnacentral:rRNA from 1 species
UACAGAGGUCUCAAGCGUUGUUCGGAUUCAUUGGGCGUAAAGGGCUCGUAGGCGGUUUGUCGCGUCGGGAGUGAAAACUCAGGGCUCAACCCUGAGCGUGCUUCCGAUACGGGCAGACUAGAGGUAUGCAGGGGAGAACGGAAUUCCUGGUGUAGCGGUGAAAUGCGCAGAUAUCAGGAAGAACACCCGUGGCGAAGGCGGUUCUCUGGGACGGUACUGACGCUGAGACGCGAAAGCGUGGGGAGCGAACAGG